rnacentral:rRNA from 1 species
CCCUUAGACGUUCUGGGCCGCACGCGCGCUACACUGACCGGUGCAACAAGCAUCCGUCCUUGGCCGACAGGCCCGGGCAAUCUUUGAACGCCGGUCGUGAUGGGGAUAGACUUUUGCAAUUUUUGGUCUUCAACGAGGAAUUCCUAGUAAACGCAAGUCAUCAACUUGCAUUGAUUACGUCCCUGCCCUUUGUACACACCGCCCGUCGCACCUACCGAUUGAGUGAUCCGGUGAAUAAUUCGGACUGCAGCACUGCUUGGUCUCCAGGCUUUGCAGCGGAAAGUUUAGUGAACCUUAUCACUUAGAGGAAGGAGAAGUCGUAACA